CCUCCGUGCCCCUCCGCAAGCGCCGCACGCCGAGGCAGCGGGAAGGAACAAAGGGGAGAGAACCCGCCGCCCCCCUCUAAGGGAGAACUCCUCCAUCUGUGCCAUGCUGUCUGUCUCCCCGGGAUGUUCCUUCAGGAACUGCUUUCCCUCCACAGUGGGAACCUACCCGUAUUUAAAGAGUGGCUACAAAGGAUAUGUAAACUCCCUUUGCACAAGGAGUCACAUGGAAAAGGAGGAAUGGGCACACGUUACUUCUGGGGAUAUUCCGACUGGACACGAGAAAAAAUCUUUUCACAGUGAGAACAAUCAGCCAUUGGAAUAGUCUCUCCAGGGAAGCAGUGGACUCCGCAGCACUGGACAGUUUUAAGAUGCAGCUGGACAGGGUGCUGGGACAUCUAGAUUAAGUCAUGCUUUGCCUAGAAAGGUUGGAUCAAAUGAUUCUGGAGGUCCCUUCCAACCUGGUAUUCUAUGAUUCUUUGGUACUAUGACACUAUGUGUAUGGUGCUGACAUCCUCUCUCAGAACUGGCUUUAAACCCUUAGCAUCUACACACAUAAUAAAUGAGUUCAGAGAAAGGGACAGCAUGACUUCGUGACUGCUCCCAUAGUGAACUGUCAUUGCUAUGACUGUACUUUAGUGCAUGGCUAAGCCACAGUCCUUCUAGGAGAAGAAAUUGCCUGUGCUUUUACAGGUAAUUUUAUCACUAAUGUAUGGCAAAGGAGUUGCUCUGCUCAGAGGAAGGUGCUUGCUGUUUUGCUAGUAGCACAUAGCUGGCAAACUGAAUGCAAUUAACUCUUCUUCUGCUGUUCCAGUUUUAUUUGACUUGAGCGACAUAAAAAAGGCCAAGCCUAGGAGCAGACCUUACAACCAAGCUUUAAAUGUAUUUUUUCCUAUGAUUAGAGAGCUGGCACAUAGUGGUGAAAUGUCCACACCUUACGGGAUGCAGCUGCUGGACAGAACAGUGCUCAUUCCCUCCAUUAGCACACAACAGCUGUGAUUGAUAGAAAAUGCAUGGCUUGGCUUUACAUUGGCAGGGAAACACACUGCUAUGUAUCUAAAUCAUACAGUGUUUUGAGGCUUUACUGCCUUUCUAGUAACCAUUUGCAUGAAAUAAAAAAUGUAAAAUGGUAUAUUAUUCACCCUUUUCUAAAAAAUAAGCCUGCAUCUGAAUUUAAAUCAGGCAGGAGAUGCUGAAGUCCCAAGAUAAAUUUUUACAGAAUAAUGAAUAUCUGAGAAGAAGUAAUUAAUCAUUGUAUCAUCGCAAUCUUUUCAAAGGUCACCCCAGCGCUAACUUAAGACAUCUGUGCCAUCACCCUCAUCUAGGACUCAUCUAGUCAAGCCAAACAACAUAAUUCAAAUACUGAACUGAUUUUCUCUUCAGGGAACUUUGGUCUUGGAGACCUAUAAGCAGUACAGAGAACUCUGAUGACUGAACCAUUAGUGUGGGUUUUGUGAAUAAGGGUUUGCUUUCUCUGGAAGAUGGCACACCGCUGUCUGGGUGAAAUUCAAUAGGAAAAAAAAUCAAUAUUCUAGAAGGCAUGUUGGCUGUUUCCGAGAACGUUAAACUAACAUCAAAGAGAAAGGUGAAAAGGACAUAAAAAUCAAAGCCUUGAGAACAAAAUGGAAUCUCCAGUAGGCAUCAACAGAAGAGAUGCUUUAAUUGACUAUGCACAAGGAGUGUAGCUAAUAAAUAGAAAGUCUUGGAAUUGUUGAUUUCUGACCAGAAAUUCAAAAGUGCUGCAUAUUACUAUAAGCUAGUGAUAUGAUCCACAUGACUGGAAAGUUGAAACCUGUCUAUAGUCUGCUUAGAAAGGCACUGGUGGACAAAAAGAAGGGAAAACACUACCAAAAUAGACUGUUCUCUGUGUCAGCAUUUCUGACAUCUCAGGAAAGAUUAUUUGAAUGUUUAUGAAUUGUGUUUUAAUGUUUAAAACAUAAAAGGAAGUAUUAGAUAGAGCCUACUGCAAACCUCACAUCAUACUAAAGGACAAAACUCAAGAUCAUUAAGUAUUUUUUACAUAGAAAGAGAAAAUUGCUUUUCUCUUUCUGAGAAUUCUGAGAAAUUCUGAGAAUUUCUGAAUUCACUGAGGGUCCACCUUGAAUGACGUCAUUCUGCCAAUAGCGUAACGUUCUGGGAAUGUCUAAAAAUUACAGGUGACAAUUCAGAAAGUUAACCUUGAACAGGAGGAUUCUGAAUGAGACCUCAUUGUAACACAUGAAAAGGGAAAGCUAGCUCCAACUGGAAUCUAAAAUUUGAGCGUUUGCUGUGCCUAACUUUUUGGAAUCUGAGCCCAGAAUGGAAUCCAGAAACUAAAUAUAGGUACAGCCUAUGAAUUUGAAAAGUUUUUUUUAGAGAAGUCUUGCAGUCUGUGUUAUGCAAAAAGAAAAGAUCACACACGGAUCUCUCUGGAACUGAAAUCCAUAAGCUUUUACUAGAGUAUCAAUAUAUUUCAAGUCUGUCCUGUAUCGUCUGAAAACUGGGACAUUUGAUUUUUUUCAUGUGUUUCCCUAUGAGGAAGAAAAUGAUAAUUCUUUUGCUGUCAAGGCAAAACAGAGGGUACAGCUUCUUAGGUACUGGAAAGGUAUAGGACAGUUAUCAGACUGAAAAUGUAUGAAAAUAUUCGGAAAAGCUAGAAGUCCUCUUAUUCCUCUCUGUCACUCAUCUUCUCAUGGGUACCAGUAAGGAAUGUGAAGUAGAUCCACAAGAGAUUGCUAACUGAAGCAAUGAAGGUGCAGGAAUCAAGAAUUCUCAGAACCAGUUUCCCUGAGCUGGCAUGAUGACUAAUGUACUUUUAAAGGCAUCAGCAGUUCCAGGCAAAAACCACAUUUUUGUUUUCUGGACAUAGGAGAAAUGCUGCUGUGAUCAUAUUGGCUGUAGUGGCAGGAGGCAGGGGAAUUCAUGCUGCAACUGCCAGAUGUGGAAGAGUUUGUUCCUUCACUGGCAGGAGUUAUGCAGUGAUCUGCAAUGCUGGGAAGUACACUACCUCAUUUUGGAAUUUAACUCUUUGCCCACAGAUCACCACACCAUGAAAUUAAUUUUUCACAGUGAUUGUUAAAUCACUUUAUUUUUAUUGCAGAAUAUUUCUGGCCCCCCCCCCCCCCCCCCCCUUUUUUUUUAAGAAACAAUCCAUUGGUUGCUAUCCCCACUGUUUUGGCAUUUCUCCCUUUUCAUUAUGCAAAAGGUUCAUUUUGAAAUUUUCUUAUGUUGCGGACAUCCUAUGAGCAAAAUUGGAUCUCUAAAUGCCCCCCUGUAGGGAUGAAGCUGUACCACUGCCAAAAUGGACCUCUGCAUCUCAGAAGAAACUCGGCUGGAAUUGAAAUGAUAGUGCACACAGUGGAGGCUGUCCUCUCUGCCAAAGCUCAGCUAUUGCUCUGAGAGCAAACUGUGCAAAUGCAGCAUUUUAUGUGGACAUUCAGCACAGAAAACAGCUUCAAGAGGACCUUUACUCUGUAAUUGUAGAAAUAAAAUCUCAAGGGAGAUUAAUCAAUUCAUUGCCAAGAAGUAUCAGUUUCGGUAAGGUGGUAACUACCUUAGCACUUGGAUUGAACUUCCAUAUGGGGACUUGGUAAUGAAAUGUUGUUUGUGUCAAAAUGCUUCACUAGGGAGAAAUUCCCUUGUUAAUGAAAUAAAACUGCUUCAAUAGGUUGUUAGCUCCACCACUGACACCGUAGAACCACAGCCCAGGAGAAUUAGCUCCUGUGCUGCUGACAAAAACCAGAAAACAUUGUGCCGAGGAGUUAACUCUCUCCUGGAAAACAAGCGUUUGCUAGAAUAGAGGAACAAAUCUGCUUGCCUGUAGGAAAGCGAUGCACAUUCUUACUGGUGCAAUUCAACUUUUGCAAUGUCAUGGUUUUUAUACUCUCAAAAUUAAAAAAUAAUUCUGUGAAAAGGCAAGAGAUCUGAGAGUGUGUGUUCCAUAUAAUGAACUAAUGUGGACAUAUUGCCAAGACUCAGAGUGACCUGAACUAAAGACCAGCAACUCAUGUAAGUCUGUAGUUGAAGUUUGUGGGUAACACAAGUGCUGAUGAAAGUUUCAAUGAGGAAAAAAAAUCAUAAGCAAAAAAGGCAAAAUUGUAAUUCAUGUGGCAUUCAGUAUAUGUGCAAAACUCACUUAUUUACAUGUAAAUGAGACAGACAGAUGAAAAGCAAAGAGCAGUAUGGAGAUAACCCUGUCUAGUCUUCCCUGUCAAGCACAAGCGUCUUUCAAUGUACAGCUGCACUGAAGACUUUAAGUCAGGGAUUAGGGAUUCUGGCUUUAGUGUGCCAUUUAAAUUCUGAAUAUCCAUAAGACUAUCUUUCAUUAAAAUUUUGCUCAGCAUGUUCCUCAAGAUUGAGAUGUUUUACACUGUCAUUUAGAUUGUAUGGGACUUUGGUCCUGAAUGUGUUAUUUGCUGGGAAUUAAAAGGGAAUGAAAUUAAAAAAGUGAGUAUGCACCAGCUGCAUUGUAAAACUGGAAAUAGUGCUUAGGAUCCCGAGUUUCAUCAGCUCUCAGUGGAUGCUGGGGGCUCUCCUGCCUUCUGUGCCUUCCAGUUUCCUCUGAGAUUUCAAGAUGGGGCAUGAAUAUAAAACCAAAGCUCUACAGAAGAUAUGCUGCAGCCAGAAAUCUGUAUGAAUAUAAUGACUUUACAAAACAUCUCAAAAGACUGAAUAAUCUUCCUGCUGGACAAAGGCAGAAAAAAGGAAAGUCAGUGGAUUUGGAAUGAAGAAUGUUUACAUAAUAUUUGAUCCUUAUUAUUUUAAAACAGCUACAAAAUAUGAUUCAUAGAAACACAGGGCUGGAUUACCAAUCAGUUAGUCUAACCUCUUCCAGAUCCUAGCAAACAUAUUGCACAGUCCUGACAAUAAAAUGAUUACUUUAAAACUA